AUUUAUCCGUGAAACUGCGAAUGGCUCAUUAAAUCAGUUAUCGUUUAUUUGAUAGUACCUUACUACUUGGAUAACCGUGGUAAUUCUAGAGCUAAUACAUGCUAAAAACCCCGACUUCGGGAGGGGUGUAUUUAUUAGAUAAAAAACCAAUGCCCUUCGGGGCUCUUUGGUGAUUCAUGAUAACUUAACGAAUCGCAUGGCCUUGCGCCGGCGAUGGUUCAUUCAAAUUUCUGCCCUAUCAACUUUCGAUGGUAGGAUAGUGGCCUACCAUGGUAUCAACGGGUAACGGGGAAUUAGGGUUCGAUUCCGGAGAGGGAGCCUGAGAAACGGCUACCACAUCCAAGGAAGGCAGCAGGCGCGCAAAUUACCCAAUCCCGACACGGGGAGGUAGUGACAAUAAAUACUGAUACAGGGCUCUUUUGGGUCUUGUAAUUGGAAUGAGUACAAUUUAAAUCCCUUAACGAGGAACAAUUGGAGGGCAAGUCUGGUGCCAGCAGCCGCGGUAAUUCCAGCUCCAAUAGCGUAUAUUAAAGUUGUUGCAGUUAAAAAGCUCGUAGUUGAACCUUGGGCCUGGCUGGCCGGUCCGCCUCACCGCGUGCACUGGUCCGGCCGGGCCUUUCCUUCUGGGGAGCCGCAUGCCCUUCACUGGGCGUGUCGGGGAACCAGGACUUUUACUUUGAAAAAAUUAGAGUGUUCAAAGCAGGCCUUUGCUCGGAUACAUUAGCAUGGAAUAAUAGAAUAGGACGUGCGGUCCUAUUUUGUUGGUUUCUAGGACCGCCGUAAUGAUUAAUAGGGAUAGUCGGGGGCAUCAGUAUUCAAUUGUCAGAGGUGAAAUUCUUGGAUUUAUUGAAGACUAACUACUGCGAAAGCAUUUGCCAAGGAUGUUUUCAUUAAUCAGUGAACGAAAGUUAGGGGAUCGAAGACGAUCAGAUACCGUCGUAGUCUUAACCGUAAACUAUGCCGACUAGGGAUCGGGCGAUGUUAUUAUUUUGACUCGCUCGGCACCUUACGAGAAAUCAAAGUUUUUGGGUCUGGGGA
rnacentral:rRNA from 1 species